rnacentral:rRNA from 1 species
UACGUAGGGUGCAAGCGUUAUUCGGAAUUACUGGGCGUAAAGCGUGCGCAGGCGGCUUUGCAAGACAGAUGUGAAAUCCCCGGGCUUAACCUGGGAACUGCAUUUGUGACUGCAUGGCUAGAGUGCGGCAGAGGGGGAUGGAAUUCCGCGUGUAGCAGUGAAAUGCGUAGAUAUGCGGAGGAACACCGAUGGCGAAGGCAAUCCCCUGGGCCUGCACUGACGCUCAUGCACGAAAGCGUGGGGAGCAAACAGG